rnacentral:tRNA from 1 species
ACCAAGAUAGCUUAAUAUUCAAAGCCUCGGUCUUGUAAGUCGAAAAUGUGUCCUCAUCACACUCUUGGUA